GACGAACGCUGGCGGCGUGCUUAACACAUGCAAGUCGAACGGUGAAGCGCCUUCCUUUUUGGUGGGUGUGGAUGAGUGGCGAACGGGUGAGUAACACGUGAGUAACCUGCCCCCUUCUUCUGGAUAACCGCAUGAAAGUGUGGCUAAUACGGGAUAUUCUGGGUCUGUCGCAUGAUGGGUCUGGGAAAGAUGUUGUUUCGGUGGGGGAUGGGCUCGCGGCCUAUCAGCUUGUUGGUGGGGUGAUGGCCUACCAAGGCGGUGACGGGUAGCCGGCCUGAGAGGGUGGACGGCCACACUGGGACGGAGACACGGCCCAGACUCCUACGGGAGGCAGCAGUGGGGAAUAUGGCACAAUGGGCGAAAGCCUGAUGCAGCGACGCCGCGUGAGGGAUGGAGGCCUUCGGGUUGUGAACCUCUUUCGCCAGUGAAGCAGGCCUGCCUCGUUUGUGGGUGGGUUGACAGUAGCUGGAUAAGAAGCGCCGGCUAACUACGUG
rnacentral:rRNA from 1 species